GAACUGAAGAGUUUGAUCCUGGCUCAGAUUGAACGCUGGCGGCAUGCCUUACACAUGCAAGUCGAACG
rnacentral:rRNA from 2 species